rnacentral:rRNA from 1 species
AAUAGAUACCCGGGUAGUCCACGCUGUAAACGUUGGACACUAGGUGUGGCGGUCUGAUCAACGACUGCCGUGCCGAAGCUAACGCAUUAAGUGUCCCGCCUGGGGAGUACGGCCGCAAGGCUAAAACUCAAAGGAAUUGACGGGUCCCCGCACAAGCGGCGGGGCAUGCGGCUUAAUUCGAUGCAACCCGAAGAACCUUACCUGGGUUUGACAUCAUGGGAAAAGCCGUGGAAACACGGUGUCCGUAAGGGCCCAUGACAGGUGGUGCAUGGCUGUCGUCAGCUCGUGUCGUGAGAUGUUGGGUUAAGUCCCGCAACGAGCGCAACCCUUGUCCUAUGUUGCCAGCAUUCAGUUGGGGACUCAUAGGAGACUGCCGGUGACGAAACCGGAGGAAGGUGGGGAUGACGUCAAGUCAUCAUGCCCCUUAUGUCCAGGGCUACACACGUGCUACAUUGGCGCAUACAAAGGGCAGCAAUACCGUGAGGUGGAGCGAAUCCCAUAAAGUGCGUCUCGGUUCGGAUUGGAGGCUGAA